rnacentral:rRNA from 1 species
GAUGAACGCUGGCGGCGUGCUUAACACAUGCAAGUCGAACGGAAAGGCCUCAGCUUGCUGGGGUACUCGAGUGGCGAACGGGUGAGUAACACGUGGGUGAUCUGCCCUGCACUUUGGGAUAAGCUUGGGAAACUGGGUAUAAUACCGAAUAUGACCACUUCUUGGAUGUUGUGGUGGAAAGCUUUUGCGGUGUGGGAUGAGCCUGCGGCCUAUCAGCUUGUUGGUGGGGUAAUGGCCUACCAAGGCGGCGACGGGUAUCCGGCCUGAGAGGGUGUACGGACACAUUGGGACUGAGAUACGGCCCAGACUCCUACGGGAGGCAGCAGUGGGGAAUAUUGCACAAUGGGCGCAAGCCUGAUGCAGCGACGCCGCGUGGGGGAUGAAGGCCUUCGGGUUGUAAACUCCUUUCGCUAUCGACGAAGCCACUUGUGGUGACGGUAGGUAGAUAAGAAGCACCGGCUAACUACGUGCCAGCCGCCGCAGUAU